rnacentral:rRNA from 1 species
UUGACCUCGGAUCAGGUAGGGAUACCCGCUGAACUUAAGCAUAUCAAUAAGCGGAGGAAAGGUUC